AGUCAGUCUGCCAAUGGUGACUAAGUUUUGUGAGAGUCGGGGAUACCUGAUUUGUUUAAUAAAACUUUUCAGAUUAUUUGGAACCAUCAAGCUGUGGAAUAGCUAGCCUGCGUAUCUAGCUGAAGGAUUCUAAUGGAGCCUACUGGAAUAUCUGCUGGGCUGCAACGUUGGUGAGAGAGAUCCUGUUUUACAAGCUCAGGUAUCACAGCUCUGACAAAUGAGUAAUCUUGAAAGAACUUGUCUUUGUCCCCCUCCCUUUUAUCCUUGAGGGAAAGAGCUUCAGUAACACCCUUGAGGCCACUGAGUUUAAAGACAGGAGGCAUCUGGUGCUGGUGAAAACACAUCUGAACACUUCCCUUUGGUCUGCCAUUAAAUAUCCUAGUACAACUGUUCUGAACAUCCCAUCCCACGCUGGAAUAGGAAGAGAAGUCCAGCCAGCCAUUUCCCCCGUGGCCAGCCGUAAGGAUCUUCCAGAAGGUAUGUGCUUUGGAUCUCAUCCCCCAGACUAGAGAGAGGAUGUAAAGCCUUUCCUUCUGGGUGGAUCAGAGGAUUGGGACCUGGUGCCCAAAGGCCUUUCUACAUGAAGUCAGUAGGUGAGAGAGCAAAUAAGACAAAGUUGUGGGACAGAGAACACAGAGAGG
rnacentral:lncRNA from 1 species